AACGCUGGCGGCGUGCUAAUACAUGCAAGUCGAACGAGUUCUCGUUGAUGAUCGGUGCUUGCACCGAGAUUCAACAUGGAACGAGUGGCGGACGGGUGAGUAACACGUGGGUAACCUGCCCUUAAGUGGGGGAUAACAUUUGGAAACAGAUGCUAAUACCGCAUAGAUCCAAGAACCGCAUGGUUCUUGGCUGAAAGAUGGCGUAAGCUAUCGCUUUUGGAUGGACCCGCGGCGUAUUAGCUAGUUGGUGAGGUAAUGGCUCACCAAGGCGAUGAUACGUAGCCGAACUGAGAGGUUGAUCGGCCACAUUGGGACUGAGACACGGCCCAAACUCCUACGGGAGGCAGCAGUAGGGAAUCUUCCACAAUGGACGCAAGUCUGAUGGAGCAACGCCGCGUGAGUGAAGAAGGCUUUCGGGUCGUAAAACUCUGUUGUUGGAGAAGAAUGGUCGGCAGAGUAACUGUUGUCGGCGUGACGGUAUCCAACCAGAAAGCCACGGCUAACUACGUGCCAGCAGCCGCGGUAAUACGUAGGUGGCAAGCGUUAUCCGGAUUUAUUGGGCGUAAAGCGAGCGCAGGCGGUUUUUUAAGUCUGAUGUGAAAGCCCUCGGCUUAACCGAGGAAGCGCAUCGGAAACUGGGAAACUUGAGUGCAGAAGAGGACAGUGGAACUCCAUGUGUAGCGGUGAAAUGCGUAGAUAUAUGGAAGAACACCAGUGGCGAAGGCGGCUGUCUGGUCUGUAACUGACGCUGAGGCUCGAAAGCAUGGGUAGCGAACAGGAUUAGAUACCCUGGUAGUCCAUGCCGUAAACGAUGAAUGCUAGGUGUUGGAGGGUUUCCGCCCUUCAGUGCCGCAGCUAACGCAUUAACGCAUACC
rnacentral:rRNA from 1 species